CGGCCGCGGUAUCCUGACCGUGCAAAGGUAGCAUAAUCAUUUGUUCCUUAAUUAGGGACUUGUAUGAAUGGCCCCACGAGGGUUUAACUGUCUCUUACUUUCAAUCAAUGAAAUUGACCUUCCCGUGAAGAGGCGGGAAUAAAAUAAUAAGACGAGAAGACCCUAUGGAGCUUUAAUUUUAUUGUUCUGGACAACAAAUUUUGGUUGGGGUGACCUCGGAGCAUAAUAAAACCUCCGAGCCAAGACGCACCUGUCAAAGCCAAUCAUAUUGAUCAACGGACUAAGUUACCCUAGGGAUAACAGCGCAAUCCUAUUUAAGAGUUCAUAUCGACAAUAGGGUUUACGACCUCGAUGUUGGAUCAGGACACCCAAAUGGUGCAGCAGCU
rnacentral:rRNA from 1 species